rnacentral:rRNA from 1 species
UCUGGUGACAAUGGCAAAGAGGUCACACCUGUUCCCAUGCCGAACACAGAAGUUAAGCUCUUUAGCGCCGAUGGUAGUGGGACUUACGUUCCGCGAGAGUAGGACGUUGCCAGGC